rnacentral:pre_miRNA from 1 species
CCACGACGACUUCACUGUAUGCAGUUGGAACGUUUGCCUACGUUUGCCGCUAGGGGCGCUGUUCCAACUUCAUACAAAUUUGAGUUA